AAGUCGUAACAAGGUUUCCGUAGGUGAACCUGCGGAAGGAUCAUUAGCGAAGUUCGGAAUGCCGGUCCGGUGCUGAAGCUGCCCAGCGAUGGGAUGUGCUCGUCCGGGCCGGUGUCCCUUCUCUAUUCCACCCCACUGUGAACCAAGCGUGCGAGCAGAAGAGAGAUCGGAAGCUCGCAUGCACACUUUAACAUACCCCUUAUGAAGUAUCUGAAUGUACCUUGCGUUAACUCGCACAAAUACAACUUUCAACAACGGAUCUCUUGGCUCUC
rnacentral:misc_RNA from 1 species